UGCAUAUCAAAAAGCGGAGGAUAAGAAACCAACAGGGAUUGCCUUAGUAGCGGCGAGUGAAGCGGCAAAAGCUCAAAUUUGAAAUCUGGCUCUUUCAGAGUCCGAGUUGUAAUUUGAAGAAGGUAUCUUUGGGUCUGGCUCUUGUCUAUGUUUCUUGGAACAGAACGUCACAGAGGGUGAGAAUCCCGUGCGAUGAGAUGAUCCAGGCCUAUGUAAAGUUCCUUCGAAGAGUCGAGUUGUUUGGGAAUGCAGCUCUAAGUGGGUGGUAAAUUCCAUCUAAAGCUAAAUAUUGGCGAGAGACCGAUAGCGAACAAGUACAGUGAUGGAAAGAUGAAAAGAACUUUGAAAAGAGAGUGAAAAAGUACGUGAAAUUGUUGAAAGGGAAGGGCUUGAGAUCAGACUUGGUAUUUUGUAUGUUACUUCUUCGGGGGUGGCCUCUACAGUUUAUCGGGCCAGCAUCAGUUUGGGCGGUAGGAGAAUUGCGUUGGAAUGUGGCACGGCUUCGGUUGUGUGUUAUAGCCUUCGUCGAUACUGCCAGCCUAGACUGAGGACUGCGGUUUAUACCUAGGAUGUUGGCAUAAUGAUCUUAAGUCGCCCGUCUUGAACCACGGACCCA
rnacentral:rRNA from 1 species